GCUUGUCUCAAAGAUUAAGCCAUGCAUGUCUAAGUAUAAACAACUUUAUACUGUGAAACUGCGUACAGCUCAUUAUAUCAGUUAUAAUUUAUUUGAUGGUGAUUUACUACAUGGAUAACCGUGGUAAUUCUAGAGCUAAUACAUGCGUAAGAUCCUGACUAACGAAGGGACGUAUUUAUUAGAUACAACCGACCUCCUUCUGGAGCCUUUUGUCGACUCAUAGUAACUUUGGGCUGAUCGUAUGGCCUUGUGCCGACGACGUUUCCUUCGAAGGUGUGCCCUAUCAACUGUCGACUGUGAUAUAGACGCUCACAGUGGUUUUGACGGGUAACGGGGAAUCAGGGUUCGAUUCCGGAGAGGGAGCCUUAAAAACGGCUACCACAUCCAAGGAAGGCAGCAGG
rnacentral:rRNA from 1 species